AAAUGGAGAGUUUGAUCCUGGCUCAGAGUGAACGCUGGCGGCGUGCCUAAUACAUGCAAGUCGAACGGACAAGUAAGAGCUUGCUCUUAUGAGUUAGUGGCGCACGGGUGAGUAAUGUAUAGUUAAUCUGCCCUACACUGGAGGACAACAGUUAGAAAUGACUGCUAAUACUCCAUACUCCUUCUUAGCACAAGUUAAGUCGGGAAAGUUUUUUCGGUGUAGGAUGAGACUAUAUUGUAUCAGCUAGUUGGUAAGGUAAUGGCUUACCAAGGCUAUGACGCAUAACUGGUCUGAGAGGAUGAUCAGUCACACUGGAACUGAGACACGGUCCAGACUCCUACGGGAGGCAGCAGUAGGGAAUAUUGCUCAAUGGGGGAAACCCUGAAGCAGCA
rnacentral:rRNA from 1 species